GUUUAUUGUGUGUAUACAGUGGUUCUUAGAUCCUGUACACAUUCAGCAUUAUUCCAUUUUAAAAAUACUUUAAACAGCUGUUUGUCCCCAUUCUGAUUUUCUUAAAAGCCUUUUUUACUACGAGCCUUAAUUUCAGUGGCAAAUAUAGCUAGUCAGCAAACAAGCCUUACUGCUCUUCUGGAAUAACUGGCCUUGAUAGGUUCAGUUUGCUUUAAUCAGUUCUUCCCUGAACUGCUGUAAUCAUUCAACAGUGGUAGCACGUUGCCUUGCUAGCUGUUAAGGUAGGUGCCAUCCCCAAAUGGGUAUCUGUAAUGAAAGAAUACAAAGAUGAAAUUUUAAAUGCUUUAAAAAAGAUUCAUUUGGGGAUUGACUGAAAGCAGUCAGGAGCGCAAGAAACACUGCCCACCCCUCCUCUCACAAUUACAGUAUCACAUGAGGCAUUCAUUUCUCCUCACAGCUAGGUCACAGCUGAGAGGACAAAUCCACCCCGAUCGGUACAAGAAGUCUGGUCUUGGGAGACCACACAGAUGUUCACAAAUCUCUAAACUGCAGGCAUUUCCUUCACCCAACUGUUACAUGCCUGCUGUGUGACAAAUGUUAAAAUCUUUGUGUUUCUUAGAUUAAAAUGAUUACCUUUCAGAUGCAAUACUAAAUAGGGCUUGCGAUAUUAAACCAGAAAAUAAUAUCAACAGAUAAAAUUGUUUCAGGCACCUAAUACUUCUGGAACCAAAUAGGGAUAGUCUCCAUUUCAUGUUAAAAAUAUCAAAAAGCAACUGCUUUGAAUGUCUUGAGGAAUACCUGCUUGAAAAUUUAAGAAUUUAUAUCUGAUAAUAUUUCUAGAAAUCAGCUGAAUAUAACUUCUAGUGUAAAUAUGGUUAAAACAACGGACACCUGAAUAUGUGAAGUCUGCUAGCUAGGGAUAUAUACAAAAUUUAUAAAUUGCUUUUUUUUUGAUACUGGGGAUCGAACUCAGGACCCCGCGCUUGCCAGUAAACUCCUUUAAAAGAUUUAACAUGAAGAUCUUUUCGAGACAGGGUUUCAUUAUGUAGUUCAGGCUAGCCUGAACUCACUAUCUAACCCAAGCUGGCCUCAAACUUGUAGCGAUCCUCCUGCCUCAGCAUCUCUAAGAAUGCUUUUUAAAAAAAGGAAAACUAGCCAGGUAUGAUGGCACACACCUAUAAUCCCAGCACUUGGGAGGCUGAGGCAGGAUCAUGAGUGGGACACAUAGCAAGUUCCAGGCCAGCCAGCCUGGACUACAGAGCAAGAAUCUGUCUCAAAAACAUGAAACCGGGGUGGGGGAUGGGGGGGUGGAUUUAGCUCUGGUUCCGCUGCCUGCUUUGCAAGCGCAAGGUCCUGAGUUUGAUCCCCGGUACCAAAACAAAAAACAUGAAACUAGGAAAACUAACUUAAAAUGUUGACUGAAAAAUUUUGAUGUACUUACUGCAGUAAUGAAAACACCCUAUUCUGUCUUCCUUAUUAUAAUGUUCUUCUCCAUGUACAGAUCUGUGAAUUUAGAUCAUAUAGCCAAGACAAUAUGGUUUGUCAUAAAUAAGCUACAGUAUUAGCUAACAGUACCAAAUACUAGGAUUCUGAGCAAAAAGAAAAAUAGGUCUUAGAAAGCCUGUGCACUUCAUUUGGCAGGGAAAGAAUAAAGCCUUUUUUUUUUUUUUUGGUACUGGGGAUCGAACUCAGGACCUUUCACUUUCGAGACAGGCGGCAGCACCACUGAGCUAAACCCCCAGCCCAAAUAAAGCCAUUUUUAAAGUGUGUUGACAAUGUAAAUCUGAGAUUUAUGGAUGUAUCAAGCUAUGUUAAUCUAAAUUCCCAUGGUAAUCUUCAGUUCUGUAUUAGUGAGACAUAAAAAGUAUAAGGAAGCAGGGCCAGUAAUAGCUGCAAGUAGGGAUGAAACCAGAAAGUCACGCUGAUCUGUGGCUGUGCUACCCAGAGACAAACUGAGGUGUCAGUGGGACUGACACUGGUGGCACCUACCCUGGCCAGGACAUUAGUCUGUGAACUAAAGUAGGUGAUACAGGCCUCUACCAGGGAGCACACACUGGUUGGCUGCAAACAAAAUUUCUUCUGCAGUGACCCCUAAUUUAGUCACUUUAGUUAUCCAAAUAUAUACCUGCCAUAAUACUCAUUUUUAAAAGUAAAUUGCAUGAGUCCUUGUUCCAAAAUUAAUACUUCAAAAUUUUAUGGAAUUUAUCUUUAAAAGAUGAAAUUAAAUAGAAGCUUUUACAUACAUACAUGUGUUUGUUCAUUCUGAUUGUCAGUAAAAAUACACUUAAAUUGGCACCUUUGUAGCAAAUACCAGAAUGUAUGUAGGAAGAGUGAAUAGAGA
ensembl:lncRNA